rnacentral:rRNA from 1 species
UACGUAGGGUGCAAGCGUUGUCCGGAAUUAUUGGGCGUAAAGAGCUCGUAGGCGGUUUGUCGCGUCUGCUGUGAAAACUGGGGGCUCAACCCCCAGCCUGCAGUGGGUACGGGCAGACUAGAGUGCGGUAGGGGAGAUUGGAAUUCCUGGUGUAGCGGUGGAAUGCGCAGAUAUCAGGAGGAACACCGAUGGCGAAGGCAGAUCUCUGGGCCGAUACUGACGCUGAGGAGCGAAAGCGUGGGGAGCGAACAGG